AUUGAACGCUAGCGGCAUGCUUUACACAUGCGAGUCGAACGGCAGCGCGGGCUUCGGCCUGGCGGCGAGUGGCGAACGGGUGAGUAAUGCAUCGGAACGUGCCCAGUAGUGGGGGAUAGCCCGGCGAAAGCCGGAUUAAUACCGCAUACGACCUGAGGGUGAAAGCGGGGGACCGAAAGGCCUCGCGCUAUUGGAGCGGCCGAUGUCGGAUUAGCUAGUUGGUGGGGUAAAGGCUUACCAAGGCGACGAUCCGUAGCUGGUCUGAGAGGACGACCAGCCACACUGGGACUGAGACACGGCCCAGACUCCUACGGGAGGCAGCAGUGGGGAAUUUUGGACAAUGGGGGCAACCCUGAUCCAGCCAUGCCGCGUGCGGGAAGAAGGCCUUCGGGUUGUAAACCGCUUUUGUUCGGGAAGAAAUCCUCUGGGCUAAUACCCCGGGGGGAUGACGGUACCGGAAGAAUAAGCACCGGCUAACUACGUG
rnacentral:rRNA from 1 species